rnacentral:lncRNA from 1 species
ACACAAGAUAGAUGCGGCCAUUAGUUAGUGGGUCUGCUAACGAUCAGUAUGUAACAACCGGCCGUUAAUCUUUGCCCCUUUCUCCCUCACAAAAACCAAUACGUAAUCCCCUUCGACCCCCAAAGCCUAGCCAACCAAAACCCUACACUUCAUAUGUAUUAAGUAUUAACCAAUCACCUGGCUACUAAUAACCAAAGCUUGUUGUAUUCUCAAUAAAAACCCUGCUAGUUUGGGACUCAGGGCUCUCAAUCUCGAUCCGCUGUGUCGGUGACAAUUGAGAGUCCCUGCUUAAGCUUGAAUAAACGACCCUUGUGUGCUUACAUCGGAAACGGCCUCCUGGUGGUCUUUGGGACCUCACAAUCUGGGCACAACAUUUGGGGGCUCGUCCGGGAUCCCAAGACCUUCAGGACUCCCGUACCGGAGGGUCAACGCCGGCUGCCUCCAAAGUGUGCACGAGGACGUCUGGCCUAAAUUAGAAGCCUUAUACCAAACUGGACCGCCUCCCGAGCCCCAUCGCUAUCGACCAGGAGACUGGGUCUUCGUCCGGAGACACCGACAAAAGGACCUUGAGCCCCGUUGGAAAGGACCCUACGUCACAGUCCUGACCACGCCCACUGCUCUCAAGGUCGACGGGGUUGCCUCGUGGGUGCACUACACCCACGUUCGCCCUGCAGAUCCUCACGCUGUCCUAGAGGACUUCGUUCCAUCAUGGCAGGUGUCCAAAGACCAAGACAAUCCCCUCAAACUCAAGCUGUGUCGUCGACGGUCAUGAUUGUGGUAACUGUACUUUUGACACCGAUAUUAGGAGGACAGAACCCACAUGCUCCCCUAAAUUUAACUUGGAUGAUCAUCAGUACCGCCACAGGUGACAUUAUUAACAGCUCGUCCAAAGUGAGCCCACCAUUAACCUGGUGGCCUGCUCUAGAGUUUGAUCUCUGUCGGCUAGCCACUGGCAGCUGGGAUAUCGGACACUGGAGCCUAGAGUCACGGGGAAGGCCUGAAUGUGGGGAAACAAAAAAAGGGGUGUACCCUCCCCCCCCAGUCGAUUCACGAACACCGGGUUGCAACCAUGUAAUUCGCAGGGCAAUAUUACGAGACACCCCCUUCUACGUCUGUCCAGGGGGGGCGUACUAGAAGUCAAAUUGUAACUUGUGGGGGUGCUGAACAGUUCUUUUGCAAAAAUUGG